UUUACAAACCCGAAUAAAUUUGGUAUUUUUUGAGUGUCUUACCGGUAGAUAUCAUUUCCUCCAUUUUUUUCAUAGCUUUUUUUUCUUUUUCGAAUCUCACCUUUUUAAAAAACGCAGUUUGCUUGCGUGACCUAGAUUUCUCUCGGCAAAUCUUCUAUUAAUGUGACCUAGGCUUUCUUUGCAAAUUUUCAUCCCUCUUCACGAUCACCACUCUGAGCGUGUCAUGAAGUGUUCUAUGCUGUCACGGGAAUCCCCUUCUACCCUCAAAUCGACGCCAUUUUCACUUUUUCCGAUGGAAACUCCAUCAGGAAUGCUAAGUUCUUAAUCAAAUCUAGGUGCUCGGGAAAUCCCUGUUUGAGGCAAACGACUCUAUCCUAUGGGUUGGAGAUGUAUGAGAGAAUGUUCGAGGUUGAGGAGAAGUUGAAGAGGUUUAGGUGGAGGGUUCAGGUUUUGGAGAGAGGGCUGGAAAUGCUUCGCUUCACACCCGGUGGUAGCUUCUAAUCAAAUACUCCCUCUCUCUUCCAAGAUAACCAUCCUGAAAUGGUAGCUCGUAAGUGUUCUUUUACUCGGUGAAUUGGUCACGAUUGUAUGUCAAAUUAAGCUUUUUAAUGAGGCUCUGAUUUGAUGAUCUAUUCUACUGGAAGUUGCUAGAUGAUGGAGUUUUACCUUGUGGCAUAUUUUAUCAUUUUUUGUGGCUGCUUUGCUUUCAAGUAGAGGCAAAUAGUGGGGAAGUUGCAAAACUCAGAUACGGGAAGGGUCCUUGUUAUGAGAAAGUGGGAUUGAAGAAGGGGAGGUGGACAAUGCAUGAGGAUGAAAUUUUGACCAAGUACAUUCAGGCCAAUGGAGAAGGUUCUUGGAGGACGUUGCCAAAAAAUGCAGAAGUUAGGAAUCAAAAGUACAAGAGAAGGGGAUUGCAACAGAUUUUCUCUCCUCAACAAAAAUAAUGGAUGCUAAAGUCAAAGUGAGUUCAUCGAAGGACAUUUUGGUUGUAGCAGGAUUAGUGGCUGAUGGCAGGCAAAUUGUUGCCCAAGCCAAGUCUGAAGCAACUAUGACAGGUUUGCUUAAUUCUUUUGCAAUAUAGAUGCUUCCUCUCUUCACCCCUUUUAUUUAUCUAAAUGUUUGAUGAGUACCGUAUUUUCUUAUUACUGUUGUCAUGAACUAAUUUGACACCUUGUAACAUGUCAAAGUUUAAGGGAAAAAUGUCUCAUUUUGUAACAUGUUUUAUAUAUCUCAUGUUUUAUAAUAGUUAUUGUAUACAUAUUUGAAUGCAAAACAUAGUAAAUUUAAGAGUGAAUGUUAAUUUGUGGUUUCUGCAUAAAAAAAUGAAGGGUUGUGUUGGGGACUAGUAAAUGUUUACUGUGGGUGGUAGUACUGAGACACUGAGCAAUUUUGGAUUUGUGGAGCAGUGUCUGAAACAGUGUGGGGUAUUUUAAUUCCCAAACUUAGUGCUCUACUAUGUAAUAUUUUACUUUUUGUGUAAUAUUUUGCAAAUACAUAUAUAAAAGAGAUAACUUUGACAAUUAUCUCAUAUUUUACCAUCAUAUCCACAUAUAUGAUAACUACUAUGUACUUUGUCUUUUGUGUUCUGUUUCUCUAAAAUGAUAAAUCACCAUUGUUUAUAUAUUUUAUACUUGUUUCUUAAAUAGUGGUUAACUAUCUAAUCAAACCUUUUUGUCAAGAAUGCUGGAAAGUUUGGAAAGAUCUUCAGCCAAGAAAACAUGUAAUCAAAUAGGUUUGGACAUGAUUAAUGAUGCAUUUGGGUAUCAUCAAUACAAUGAUGGCAUGGUUGAUGAUAAGGAAACGGGUGGGGAGUCAAGUCAUAAUAUGAAUGAUGAUCUUGGAGACCUUUUUCAGUUGAUGCAAGAAGGUCAAGAGAGUUUAUAUGAAGGGUGUGAUAAAUAUUCUAAACUUUCUUUCAUUGCAUUGUAUUUUCUUUCAUUCUAAACUUUCUUUCAUUGUAUUUUAUUUGACUUUA